CCUGGGGAGUACGGUCGCAAGAUUAAAACUCAAAGGAAUUGACGGGGGCCCGCACAAGCAGCGGAGCAUGUGGUUUAAUUCGAAGCAACGCGAAGAACCUUACCUAGACUUGACAUCUCCUGCAUUACCCUUAAUCGGGGAAGUUCCUUCGGGAACAGGAAGACAGGUGGUGCAUGGUUGUCGUCAGCUCGUGUCGUGAGAUGUUGGGUUAAGUCCCGCAACGAGCGCAACCCUUAUUGUUAGUUGCUACCAUUUAGUUGAGCACUCUAGCGAGACUGCCCGGGUUAACCGGGAGGAAGGUGGGGAUGACGUCAAAUCAUCAUGCCCCUUAUGUCUAGGGCUACACACGUGCUACAAUGGCAAGUACAAAGAGAAGCAAUACCGCGAGGUGGAGCAAAACUCAAAAACUUGUCUCAGUUCGGAUUGUAGGCUGAAACUCGCCUACAUGAAGCUGGAUGUUGC
rnacentral:rRNA from 1 species